GAGGCUUGAUCUAUGCGCAUGCGCGCUGCUCGGGUCCGAGCCAGUCCACGCGGGCGCGCCGGAAGUGGCCAGGCGACUCCGUUGGGAUCCUGCGCUCGGACGCUGUUCCAAGGACGCUCUUCUGCUGGCCUCAGGAGGUGACUAGUGCCACAGCUCAGCUGACCCGGCACUCCGGUUUGCACCAGCCAAAUCCAGCGGCCGACACUGUAUCUCACCUCCGGGCAGCUCCUAAAUGCCGGUCCUUGGGUGAGCGGAUUGGCCGACGCCGCCCUGCACUUCUGGCUGUACUUCUGCAUUUCCAACCCUCUGUAGCCUCCAGAGCGGCUGCUGUCUAAAACCAGAAGCCAGCUACCCUCUCGGAAGGAGAUGCCCGAUGCCUCGCGCGCGCUCUCUGCUUCGGCCUUCGCAUUUUCACCACGAGUUUUCUAAAAUUCAAAGAGAGCGAAGAGAAAAUUAGUAUCCGGACCAGCUUGGGGACUGCUGGCUCGCCUAGGCUUUCGAGAGAUUACAAGCGUUAUCGCUGCUGUGAUUUGUACUCAAGAGACUUCACAGUCAGAGCUCAGGUCCUCAAUUCAGUAAUUGGCAACUGUAGUUUAUCUUUCAGAGAUUCUGCAUCUCUACUUCUGGUUCCCCUUCUAAACUCUGAUUUUUGCCAAGAGCAAAACUUUUGGUUGUGUAAGGUGACUGGCCUGUUCUUUGACAGACAAUGCAAAAGAGAUGCUUCGCUUACAUUAGCUAAUUAAUCUUAAGAAUAAUUCCACAAGGGCUGGAGAGAUGGCUCAGCCGUUAAAGGCUAGUCUCACAACCAAAAAUAUAAGAAUAAUUCUACAAAGUACAGUGUGUAUUUUCACUUUUAUACGUUGGACACUGUCACAGAUAAAAUGGGGCCGUCGUCUUUUUGGAACCUCAAUUCAGAAGCAGUGGCUUGUGCAUACAAAUUAGGGGCAAAAGUAUAUAGUACAAUGUAAGGACAAAUAAGAGUUAUUUUAAAUGAACAAAACAACAUUUUAAAGUAUAUGCAAAUCAGUUCACAAAAUAGCAUGUCUACCACAUUUUAUUGAUGUUCAAACUUAAUAUAGCAGAAACAGUGUAUUCUCCAUAAAUCUGUUUUACCAAUUUGCUUAAUUUAUAGAUGAAUUCAUUGGUGAGAAUAGUGUGGAUACUCUCAUAUCCUGGUGUGGAUAUAAGUUAACACAAAUUCACAUAUAAAGUAGGACUUUUGAAAGAACCUGCUUAGUAGCCAGGUACAGUAGCCCAAAUUCCCUCCCCAGGAACACCUGUAAGGAGAAGCAAGGUAAAGACAGAACUUCCAGAAGGAAAGACAGAAACCAAUGGGGACCUGAGAGGGAGAGCAGUCUGUCUGUCUUUCUUGCCUCACUCCUAUUCUUGAAGUAUGUUCUUGAUAUUGAAACUAUGAAUCCAGUCCCCUAUUUCCUCCUUCUUUUUUCACUACCUGAAUUUGAAUUCUAGUUCUGCCACUCAUUAGCUUUGUUACUGAAAGCUAGACACUCUCUUAGUAAGAGUAUGAUACGAAUAAUGUGUAACCUGAGAUAUCCACAUAGCACAAUUGAAUCACUGAUGAUCCUAUUGGCUCAGUCCUUUUCAUGAAUUGUUGGAUUCUAUUCAUGUUGGUAUGUUUUAUGGUUUGUGUAUGCUCAGCUCAGGGAGUGGCACGAUUAGAAAGUUUGGCCCUAUUGGAGUAGGUGUGGCCUUGCUGGAGUAGGUGUGUCAAUGUGAGUGUGGGCAUUUAACAUCCUCAAUCUAGCUGCCUAGAAGUCAGUCUUCCACUAGCAGCCUUCAGAUGAAGAUGUAGAACUCUCAGCUCCGCCUGCAUCACUUCUGCCUAGAUGCUGCCAUGUCCCUGCCUUAAUGUUAAUGGACUGAAUCUCUGAACCUGUAAGCCAGCCCCAAUUAAAUGUUGUCUCUAUAAGAGU
rnacentral:lncRNA from 1 species